GGAAGUAUGGGAGAGUGGUUUAUUCCAGCAGUCUUGAAAACUGCCGACUGUAAUAGGUCCGUGGGUUCGAAUCCCACCGCUUCCGCCA
rnacentral:tRNA from 1 species